rnacentral:misc_RNA from 1 species
UCUCGGCUUAUCACCGGCAGUCCCCUUAGAGUGCCCAACUAAAUGCUGGCAACUAAGGGCGAGGGUUGCGCUCGUUGCGGGACUUAACCCAACAUCUCACGACACGAGCUGACGACAGCCAUGCAGCACCUGUGUCCCGGUCCCCGAAGGGAACCCUACAUCUCUGUAGGUAGCCGGGCAUGUCAAGCCUAGGUAAGGUUCUUCGCGUUGCGUCGAAUUAAACCACAUGCUCCACCGCUUGUGCGGGCCCCCGUCAAUUCCUUUGAGUUUCACCGUUGCCGGCGUACUCCCCAGGUGGAUUACUUAUCGCUUUCGCUAAGCCGCGUACUGUAUAUCGCACACAGCGAGUAAUCAACGUUUACAGUGUGGACUAC